UCCCCAGUGGCUCAGUCGAUAAAGAGUCUGCCUGAAAUGCAGGAGACCCAGGUUCGAUCCCUGGGUUGGGAA
rnacentral:tRNA from 1 species